GCCGGACCGGUCCCGUUCGGUCGGUCUCCCUCCCAGCAUCAUUUCUAGACCGGUGAGAGGAGCCCUAGCGCCGCCGUGAGAGAGCGGUGCCGCCCGAAAGCAAGGGCUGCCCCGAGCUUCCCUUCGCCGGAACUUCCUCCUCCGGCCACCAAUCCGGGCAAGCUUGGUAUGGUUUUGUAGCCCUCCAACCCAGCAACCUUGCCCUAAAAGGACUCACUCCCUCUUGAGCUAGGUAAGGAGAAAUUUGAGGUGGAAGUUUUAUGGUGUUUUUGAUGUUUUUAGUCGAUUGCCCUAGUUAGGCUUGGAAUUGGUGUUUGUGCGAGUUAUGAAAGUUGUAGAGCUUGAUGAGAGGAAGAUGCUGUUAAAAUUUCAUAGGUUUUGGAGGUCGCUGGAAUUGACCUCCGGCCGCCGCUGCCGGCGGAGCCGCCGGCGGCGCCGCCGCCGGUUGGGAGAUUUUAAUGUUGUUAAAUUUGGAAUAUUAAGGGGAGUUUAUUGAAGUGAGUUAUGGAAUUUUUGGAUGAGUUUUGGAUAGGUUUAUGAAUUUCCGAAGUGUGGUAUUUUUGGCGGGUAAUUAAUGUAGAAUCCGGCCGUUGGAUUUAAGUCGUAUUUUGGAGAGGUUGUAUUUACGACUGUGGAGUAUGAUAUUUAAGUUCGGAUCGUCCGAUGUAAGAAUAUCGAAGUUAGGCAAUAAUGAGCGUAAUUAUGGCUCUCGGGUAAUUUUGCCUAUUUUGAUUAAAUAUUGGAUAUUGGUUGGGAAAUUAAUAUUAUAUUUGGAACAGAACGUGAAGAGGCUCGAGCAGACGAGACCCCAGAUUGACAUCAGGCUUAGGCCUAAUUCGUGAGUGGACUUUAUUUGAAAUAAUAUGCAUGCUAUGGUUCAUGAUUGAACAUUUCCUUUUGUUGGAGUUUUUGACGUCAAUUAAUUUUGACGCUUUUAUUCU
rnacentral:lncRNA from 1 species